GAUGAACGCUGGCGGCGUGCCUAAUACAUGCAAGUCGAGCGAACAGACCAGGAGCUUGCUCCUCUGACUUUAUCGGCGGACGGGUGAUUAACACGUGGUUAACCUACCUAUAAGACUGGGAUAACUUCGGGAGACCGUGGCUAAUACCGGAUAAUAUAUUGAACCUCAUGGUUCAAUAGUUAAAUACGGUUUUUCUUUCACUAAUAGAUUAAUCCGGGCCGCAUUAGCUAGUUGGUAAGGUAACUGCUUACCCAGGCAACGAUGCGUAGCCGACCUGAGAGGGUGGUCCGCCACACUGGAACUGAGACACGGUCCACACUCCUACGGGAGGCAGCAGCAGGGACUCUUCCGCGAGGGGCGAAUGCUUGACGGAGCAACGCCGCGGGAGUGAUGAAGGUCUUAGGCUCGUAAAACUAUGUUAUCCGGGAAGAACAAAUGUGUAAGUACCUAUGAACGUCUUGACGGUACCGAAUCAGAAAGCCACGGCUAACUACGUG
rnacentral:rRNA from 1 species